rnacentral:rRNA from 1 species
UUCGGAUUGUAGUCUGCAACCCGACUACAUGAAGCUGGAAUCGCUAGUAAUCGCGGAUCAGAAUGCCGCGGUGAAUACCGUUCCCGGGUCUUGUACACACCGCCCGUCACACCAUGGGAGUCGGAAAUGCCCGAAGUCUGUGACCCAACCUUAGGGAGGGAGCAGCCGAAGGCAGGUCGGAUGACUGGGGUGAAGUCGUAACAAGGUAUC